ensembl:lncRNA
AGUCAUAUUGGCUCACUCUAAUGAUCUCAUUCUGAUCUGAUUACCUAAGACCCUAUUUCCAAAAGGGUCACAUUCUGUACUGGGGGUUAGGAUGUCAGCAUAUCUUCUUUGGGGGAAAACAAUCCAUAACACAUACAUAUAAUUUCAUACAAGGCAUAAAUAUGAUGAUAUGCAUCGAUUUUAUUUUAAGUGAACAUUGUGUCUUACUUUUUUUUAUUUGGCUCUGUCCCUCCCUUCUCUCUCCACCAGCAUGUGGUAUUAUGGCUCUUUCUGCCAGUCUAACUGUGAACUGGUGUUUUAUUGUUCGCUUUAAUUUGACUUUCUCUGACAACUAGUGAAUUUAAACAUCUCAAAUGUUUAUUGGCUUGUUGGCCAUUUGAAUUUAUUCCUCAUUGAAUUGUUCGUUUGUAUCCUUUGAGCACUUUGCUGUCAUUUUGUCUUUUUCUCAUCAAAUUUAAGAAUUUGUAUUGUAUGUAUAAACUUUGUCACUUGUGUUACAAAUCUACAAAUGUGUCCUUAUUAUUGACCUAUUGACUUUAUCAUUUUAAAAAUCAAAUAUAUUUUCCUUCAUACCUCCUGGUCUUGGUUUUAAAUGCUCUCCCAAUCCUAGAAUGGACACGUAGCCUACCAGAUUUUUAAACAGUCCCUUCAUUGCUGUAUUUUUUACAUCUAAAUAUUUAACCUGUUUGAAAUGGAUUUUGCCAUAUAGUAUAAGGUGGGAGUUCAAGUUCAUCUUCUUCCAAGUGGAGAGCUGGGCAGUACUGUCUGUUAUCUAUUACAUCUUUUCUCUGUUGUUAUAUAUUAAAUUCUCAUUCAUAUCGGGAUUUGUCUCUGGGUCUUUCUAGCAGCCAAUUCAGAGAGGAAACACGAAAGACUGGAAGGGUCCCUGACAUCUUAGCCAUGGUAGGUAGCUUUGGGGUGGUGACCAUUUAGGUGACUUAUUUACUUUUCAUUUUGCUGGGCUGUAUAUUCCGAUUUUUCCUUUAACAAGCAUGUGUUACUGGUUUCACAAAAACAGAUAAAGGGGAAAAAACAGUAAACCCACUAGUUUCGUCAUUCAUAGUGUCCUAGGACAAAAACCAACUGCAUCUAGGGAGCAGGACUACUAUUCCUGGAAUAGAGACCUGAGAAGGGUUUCCCUGGGGACACACACAUACCUAAUAGGGCUGUUCCCGGCAGACCCUGGACAGUCUAUUUAAAGACCCUUUUGCCCUGAGGUGGGGCUGAUUAACUGUUGGGAAGUCCUUUCCUGCGGCCAGCUCAUUGUGAAGUAGCUGGUGAGGGGGUGCUUUCAAGCGUGAUUGGCAGUUCUCGCGUGUUCCAGGGCAAUGAGUUUAAUUGGAAGAGCAGGUUGCUCCAGAGCUGAUGCAAUAACCACCAGGGCUGAGUGUUCUGUCCGAAUGUGUGAAGUGAUGCAAUAAUUGCCUGCGUUAAGCAGCAGCUGAAUUACUGGCAGGAAUUUAAAUGCUUCAAACACUUCUUUGAAUUGGUGAUUAGAGGGCGCAUUCAAAUGAUAGCAGAGUGACCGGAUCCCCAUAACCCCAGGGCACAGCGUCUGUCCCUAAGUGAUAAGGGUCAGUUAGAGCCAUAAAGUCUCAUAAAACUGUCCCAGGGCGCUAAUGAAAGCCCUGCAGUAAAUUUGCAGGGGCCUGGUUGUCAACUGCUUAAAAUAAUGACAGCAGUGGGGUCCCCUCCCAGUGCAAAGUGACCACCAGCAGCUCGGCCCAAAUUAACCCCGACUGACUCCCCAGGCUUCUCCACCCCAGGCCAUGGUGCCUCACCCUAGGGGAGGUCAAAGUGUGAGGGCUGGGCCAAAUCCUUCCACUCCUCCUGCCAGGCCUGGGACCUGGGGGGUAGCGCUGUCUGCAGACACUUGGAGGAACCCUCACGGUCCAAGCCCGCUUAUGGUUUAUAUACUGAGAAGGGAGUCUCCCAGGAGAAAAUCCGGAGGAGAGAAGAGGAGUUCAUAGCCCCAAACAUUUUUCAUCAUCAUUGCAGUAGGGCGUCAAUCUGCCAUCUGUAAACCCAGACUGUAAAGUGGACCUAGCUGUCUUUAUUGUUUCUGAUUUGAAUUAAUUUCUGGCUGAAACCUACAUUCCACUGACUGUUGGGAAAUGUUACCAUUGGGUUCCUUCCCUUACCUCCGUGAUGUGCCAUAGUUCUGGGAUCCUACAAAGUGCUGACCUGUCUAGAUUGGAAUGUCCAGGUGACCACUGAGGCAUCUACUGUCCAGGUCCACGUGGGGCCGUGGUCUGGUGGGUCUCUGCUGCUUGUGUCCCACACUUGAGGCACAGAAUUCUUUGACUAGGCUGCCUGGCCCUUCUGCCUGGAUGCACCAUGCACCACUCCUCUGGGGUCCUGCUGCCCCCCAGUACUCCCCACCGCCUGGUCUCUGCCAUGCCUGGACGCACAGUCCUCUUUCCUCUCCUCCUAAGCUGGAAGGAGCCAUCUUUUCCCAGGAUGGGAGUGAAACUCCAAACUCAACUUGGCUCCUUCAAGAUAUCCCGUUUCUAUCAGCAAGGCCUGUUCUCCCUCUUAACUCUUCCCAGACCCCGAGGAAUCACUUGCGGGAGACAAAAGCCAGAAGGACUGUGGAUGACUUCUGCCUUUCAGCCUGCUCCCACCUCGUGAGGCAAGAAGCACAGAUUUCAGAACACCGAGUGGAAGGCAUCAGGGAAUUCAUAGUUCCGUCAGAGAGAAGGUGCAAAUUCUGAAGUACUUGGCAUUUACAAAUGGAUUGUUUCAAACCCACACUGGUCAAUCAAUUGUUUGGAAUUUGAAAUGUAUUUUUUUUUUUUUCAAAAAAAUGUUAUAAACACUGGUUUGCUUUCCAGGCAAGCCCAGAGAUACUAUGGUGAAAACAAAACUUUUUAUUUCUCUUAAUACCAUUGGAACAGAGAAGAAAUGCUAACAAAGUCAUAGCUUCAAUCAUAUUUGUUUAGUUUUGUUUGAGAUCUGAAGAAAUAGUUUGGAUUUUUCAAAGGUUUUAGACGCUUAGGGAAUCAGCUGCUUGUGUUAUGUCCAUUUUUACUUCCUUCUUUCUUCUUGAUACUAUAGUCAGUGCCAAUAAUGUUGGGGAUGUCAGCUACAAUCAUAGGCAAGGGAGACAGGGCUCAAAAACACCAGAAACAGAAUGGGAAAAUUUUGAGAGAAACUGAGGUAUCUUACAGGAAAUUAAAGAGAAACGGGAAGGAGAAAAGGAGUCAAAGUGAAGGGUGUGCUUGUGAUAAGGAGGUUCCUCGAGGUGUAGUUAAUGGACUUGAGAAAUGAGGAAGACGUGCAGAAUCACUCCAAGGAGGAGGCAGGAGAGAAGUGUGCAGAAAUCAAAACCCAAACGCCUUCAGGGCCCAGACAGGUACAGGAAAGGAGCAGGCUGGGGAUGAAAGAAAGGGAAAUAGUGGGGAGCGUGGCAAACCAGAGUUCAGGAAAUUCUAAUUUGAUUUUUUGUAAAACAUCAGUGUGAGCCUAACCAAAUACCGCUGCAAGCUGAGUUGUAUCUGUUGGCCACCUUUCAGAAUCUUUGGCAAAGAGAUUAAAAGCAGGAGAUCUGGAGUCAGACUGCCUGGGUUCAUCACCUGCUUCACCACUUAGUGGUCUGUGACCUCACUUUCCUCGUCUGUAUACCGAUUUUUCUGACUUCAUAGGAUUGUUGUGAAGUAUGACAACAUAGGUGAGAGGCUGGCCCCAUGGCUGAACGGUUAAGUUCUCGUGCUCCAUUUCAGCGGCCCAGGGUUUCGCCGGUUCGGAUCCUGGGCACAGACAUGGCACCGUUCAUCAGGCCAUGUUGAGGUGGCGUCCCACAUAGCACAGCCAGAAGGACCUACAGCUAGAUUAUACAACUAUGUGCUGGGCGGCUUUGGGGAGAUGAAGAAAAAGGAUUGGCAACAGAUGUUAGCUCAGGUGCCAAUCUUUGGGGAAAAAAAAAAAAGGAAACUUAAAAAAAAAGAAGAUAACACGGGUGAAGUGCUUUGCACAGGGCACAGUAAGCCUCCAAUAAAUGCUCAGUAAGCAUCCACUAGAACAUAAUCCCCUGGACAGUCUGUUUGUUGCUGGAUCCCCAAUGCCUACAAUAGUGCCUGGCACAUAGUAGGUACUCACUAAAUAUUUGUUAGAUGACUGAAUAGAUGGGCGAAGGGAAAAGAAGGCAAUUAUAGGGAAGAGAUGCAGGGUCAUAAGAGUUCUCCACACUGACCGUGAGACAGCUCAGGUUAGAGGGGUUGCUGAGCUAUGUUUUAAGGAGUAUAGAGUAUCAUCUCCCGAACUCAAAAACUUUUAGAACUAGAAGGCAAUGAGUCUUUCUUCUGGUCUUUGAUGGUUAAUUUUAUAUGUCAACUCAACCAAGACUCGGGAUGCCUAGAUAUCUUAUGAAACAGUAUUUCUGAGUGUGUUCACAGAGGGUGUUUCUGGAGAGAUUCGCAUUUCAAUCAGUAGACUGAGUAAAGAAGAUUGCCCUCCCCACUGUGGGGGGCAUCGUCCUAUCUGUCGAGGGCCUGAAUAGAACAAAAAUGUGAAGAAGGUUGAAUUUGCUCUCUGCUUGACUGCGUGAGCUGCAACAUCAACCUUCUCCCGCCCUCAGUGCUCCUUCUCAGGCCUGUAGAUGAAGACUGGAACCCACACCAUCAGCUCUCUGGCUCUCAAGCCUUCGAACUACAUCACCAGCUUUCCUGGGUCUCCAGCUUGCAGAUGGCAACUGGUGGGCUUCUCAGCAUCCAUAGUCAUGUGAGCCAAUACCUCAUAACGCGUCUUCCCAAAUUUUUAUAUAUUUUGUAUGCACACCCACACAUCCUACUGGUUGUGUUUCUCUGGAGAACCCUGACUAAUACGCUGUCUGACCCUUUCGUUUAACACAUCAGGAAACCAAGAUACAAAGAGACUAAGCCAGGUGUGCAAACCAGGUAGCCAUAAACAAGAAAGUCACUGUUUUGGUAUGUUUGUGUACAUGUGAUUUCGCAAGAGAGAAAUGCAAAUCAAAACCACGAUGAGAUAUCACCUCACCCCUCUUGAAUGGCUGUUAUCAGAAAUAUAAGAAGUAAGUGUUGUUGAGGAUGUGGAGAAAAGGCAACCUGCAAGCACUGUUGCUGGGAAUGCAAAUUGGUGCAGCCACUGUGGAAAACACUAUGGAGCUUCCUCAAAAAAUUAAAAAUUGAAAUACCGUAUGAUCCUGCAAUUCUACUUCUGGGUAUUUAUCUGAAGAAAAUGAGAACACCAACUUGAAAAGAUAUACGCACCCACAUGUUCACUGCAGCAUUAUUUACAACAGCCAAGACAUGGAAACAACCUAAGUAUCCAUUGAUGGAUAUAUACAUACCCACACACACACUGCAAUAUUAUUCAGCCGUAUGAAAUCUUGCCAUUUGCAACAACAUGAACGGACCUCGAGGGCAUUAUGCUAAGUGAAAUAAGUCAGAGAAAGACAAAUACCAUAUAAUCCCUCUCAUACAUGGAAUUUAAAGAAACUAAAAAAAACAACAAACAAGCUCAUAGAUACAGAGAACAGAUUGG